GACAGAAGGUGCAAGCGUUACUCGGAAUUACUGGGCGUAAAGCGUCCGCAGGUGUUCCUGUUUGUCCGGGGUAAAAUGGCGAAGCCUAACUUCGUCUUCGCCUUGGAAACGGCAGGAAUGGAGUCAUUCAGAGGCAUCUGGAAUGCCGUGUGUAGGGGUAAAAUCCGUUGAUCCACGGUAGAACGCCAAAAGCGAAGGCAGGAUGCUAGGAAUGUACUGACACUCAUGGACGAAAGCGUGGGGAG
rnacentral:rRNA from 1 species